CAUUCGCGAUUCAGAGUAUACGACGUAGUAAAAACGCACUGACAUAAUAAUGGAGUCUUGGGCACCAGUAAUAUUUGCGAUUUCACUCAUCUUUCCCUUACAAGGCGUUCUAGCGUUUGACGGAGGCGAUGCAUUGGCGCUCAUCUUAGGCUUGGCUUUAGGAUUAUUCGGUAUAUGUGCCUGCCUGGGCGCCUAUGCUAGGAGAAGAGCUGGCCAAUAGUAGAAACAUGAACUGGAGACCUGAGUGGUUACUGAUGUUCCGACUGUAACUCGAGCAUCAUGGACGCACAAGGAUCUCCUGACCACCACUGACUGAUUAAAGAUAGAAUGGGGACUUUCAUUGAUACCAGGAGCUCAUACCAAAACCUCAUCAUCUAAGAUUUCUGAUCUGAUGACCUUGGAUGUCAGUUUCCACGACAACGUACUACUACACUGUGAUCGAUUCAGCCGACGUGAGCCGACGUGAAAUUUCAGUGUGUAUGUCAAAGAUUCUCAGAAAUUCGAGCACGUUACAUGCAGGUAUGCGGUGUCACGAAUCAAAUGCAAUACUGGUAGAUUAAUUGAUGUGCUAUCCGUGUUUCCUCACAGCACCAAUUUCGACGACAGAAAAAAAAAAGUUGUUCGAGAAAUUAUCCUAUAUUCAUGCUGCAAAAACCCAUGGAUGGAAAAGGUUUCAUUUAGUUGUAUAGUUUUGUUAUUAUUGUUAAUCUUUCUUAACAGUAAUAUGUAGUUAUGCAUGAAAGUGGUUAGAGCGUUGUUCUAUGGUACCGGUAACCAAUUAUAUAUUAUUAUAACAUUUCACCUAGAUUGUACAACAUGUAUUUGUUAAAGAAGUGGUGCUUAUCAUCUCAAAAAAUUUAAAAUCAUGAAAUUGGUUGAAAACAGUUUUAAAACAUGUCUAUAAUACGAAUCGCAGCCAAAUAUAAAGCUGUUAUGAUUGAUAUUGUAAGUAUGAAGUUUGUUAAACAUGAUAAUACAGGUGUGAAAAAUGAUGAAAUGACAUGUUCCUUGUGUAUAUAAAAAUGAUGUAUAAUAUUUCAUAUCAAUAAAAUGCACCGUCAAUUCAAUUGUCGUUAAUAACAUAUUCA